rfam:Triticum aestivum genome assembly, contig: Triticum_aestivum_CS42_TGACv1_scaffold_224942_3B
AUUGUACUCCCUCCGUCCCAAAAUUCUUGUCUUAAAUUCGUCUAGAUAGAGAUGUAUCUAAUAUUAAAAGGUGACUCAAUACAUUUGUAUUUAGACAAACCUAAGACAUGUAUUUUGGGACGAAGGGAGUACAAC